rnacentral:rRNA from 1 species
UACGUAGGUGGCAAGCGUUGUCCGGAUUUACUGGGCGUAAAGAGCGCGCAGGCGGUCGUUCAAGUCGCGUGUGAAAGCCCCCGGCUCAACUGGGGAGGGUCACGCGAUACUGAUCGACUCGAAGGCAGGAGAGGGAAGUGGAAUUCCCGGUGUAGUGGUGAAAUGCGUAGAUAUCGGGAGGAACACCAGUGGCGAAGGCGGCGCACUGGACCACAUCUGACGCUGAGGCGCGAAAGCUAGGGGAGCAAACAGG